GCCGGCUUGCCGGCUAUGGAAAUAAAUCGCCGUCGAAAUAAACCAUUCGGACCCGGGGGCGGUACCCGGCGCCUCCACCA
rnacentral:tmRNA from 2 species